UCCUUAGAUUUGAUCCAAGGAAAGGUAACACUUUAGAUGAGUUUCCUUGAAAGAUAUCAAGGAAAAUAGCAUCAAAAGAUAAUGGAUUUCUCCAUUAGGAGAAGAACGAACUCGAAUAAGAUUUAGUUCGUUAGAUAUUAUCUAUUACCCAUAUAUAUAGGAUAUAUACUUCUAAAACAAUAUGAUUUUAAAUUAGAAGAUCUUCCAAUAUUUUCAUGACUCCAUAAGAUGUAGUUGGAAAGAAAAACAAAUCUUAAAACAUGUUAAGAUUUGGGGUUGUGUGCUAAUAAGCAAUAUUUGUUUGAUAACAAUCUUGUAG
rnacentral:lncRNA from 1 species